GGAUGAAUAUUGCGCAAUGGGCGAAAGCCUGACGCAGCGACGCCGCGUGGACGAUGAAGGUCUUCGGAUCGUAAAGUCCUUUUCUGCGUGACGAGGAAGGACGGUAGCGCAGGAAUAAGUGUCGGCUAACUACGUGCCAGCAGCCGCGGUAACACGUAGGACGCAAGCGUUAUCCGGAAUUACUGGGCGUAAAGAGCGUGUAGGCGGCACGGUAAGUCAACCGUGAAAGCUCCCGGCUAAACUGGGAGAG
rnacentral:rRNA from 1 species